GUAGUCUCGCACAGAUGCAUAUCAAUAAGCGGAGGAAAAGAAACUAACAAGGAUUCCCCUAGUAACGGCGAGUGAAGCGGGAAGAGCUCAAAUUUGAAAUCUUAAAGGGUUUCCCUUUACGAAUUGUAGUUUAAAGAAGUGUUUUCUGUUGAGGUUUUGGUAAAAGUUCUUUGGAAUAGGACAUCAUAGAGGGUGAGAAUCCCGUAUUUGACCUUUACUUUCAACUUUGUGAUACACUUUCAAAGAGUCGGAUUGUUUGGGAAUGCAGUCCAAAAUGGGUGGUAAAUUUCAUCUAAAGCUAAAUAUUGGCGAGAGACCGAUAGCGAACAAGUACCGUGAGGGAAAGAUGAAAAGAACUUUGAAAAGAGAGUUAAACAGUACGUGAAAUUGUCAAAAGGGAAGCGUUUGACACCAGUGUUGUUUUUCUGAAAAUCAAUUAAAGAACUGUUUAUGCUAAGUUGUUUAGACUUUAUCAGCUAUCUGUUUAGUUUUGAGCUUUUCUUUAAUGCACUUUUCAGUUAACAAGUCAACAUCAAUUUCUUUUGCUGUAAAAAAGCUUGAGGAAGGUGGCUUGAGAUUCGUCUUAAGUGUUUAUAGCCUCUUGCCUAUGCAGUCGGAGAGAUUGAGGUCUGCAGCGUAGAUCCUUCGGGGCUAAAUGCAUUUGUGCUAAGUUAUAGCAUUUCAUAGACAACUUGUUGACUAUGAUUUGUCUUGUAGCUUACUCGCUUAUGUUAUUUUACCUACGCUUAGGAUGUUGACAGCAGUAUAGACUGU
rnacentral:rRNA from 1 species